UACGUAGGGGGCUAGCGUUGCUCGGAAUCACUGGGCGUAAAGCGCACGUAGGCGGGUUCUUAAGUCAGGGGUGAAAUCCCGGAGCUCAACUCCGGAACUGCCUUUGAUACUGGGAAUCUUGAGUCCGGGAGAGGUGAGUGGAACUCCGAGUGUAGAGGUGAAAUUCGUAGAUAUUCGGAAGAACACCAGUGGCGAAGGCGGCUCACUGGCCCGGUACUGACGCUGAGGUGCGAAAGCGUGGGGAGCAAACAGG
rnacentral:rRNA from 1 species